rnacentral:rRNA from 1 species
AGUGAACGCUGGCGGUAGGCCUAACACAUGCAAGUCGAACGGCAGCACAGUAAGAGCUUGCUCUUACGGGUGGCGAGUGGCGGACGGGUGAGGAAUACAUCGGAAUCUACUUUUUCGGGGGGGAUAACGUAGGGAAACUUACGCUAAUACCGCAUACGACCUACGGGUGAAAGCAGGGGAUCUUCGGACCUUGCGCGAUUGAAUGAGCCGAUGUCGGAUUAGCUAGUUGGCGGGGUAAAGGCCCACCAAGGCGACGAUCCGGAGCUGGUCUGAGAGGAUGAUUAGCCACCCUGGAAGUGAGACACGGCCCAGUCUCCUACGGGAGGCAGCAGUGGGGAAUAUUGGACAAUGGGGGCAAGCCUGAUCCAGCCAUCCCGCGUGGGUGAAGAAGGCCUUGGGUUUGGAAAGCCCUUUUGUGGGGAAAGAAAAGCAGCAGGUUAAUACCCCGCUGUUCUGACGGUACCCAAAGAAUAAGCACCGGCUAACUUCGCG